AGGAAGGCAGACCCAGGGAACUGAAACAUCUAAGUACCUGGAGGAAGAGAAAGAAAAAUCGAUUUCCUGAGUAGCGGCGAGCGAAACGGAAAGAGCCCAAACCAAGAAGCUUGCUUCUUGGGGUUGUAGGACACUCUAUACGGAGUUACAAAAGAAAGCUAUAAAUGAAGCGGUCUGGAAAGGCCCGCCAAAGACGGUAACAGCCCGGUAGUUGAAAUGGUUUUCCCUCCAGAGUGGAUCCUGAGUACGGCGGAACACGUGAAAUUCCGUCGGAAUCCGGGAGGACCAUCUCCCAAGGCUAAAUACUCCCUAGUGACCGAUAGUGAACCAGUACCGUGAGGGAAAGGUGAAAAGCACCCCGGAAGGGGAGUGAAACAGUUCCUGAAACCGUGUGCCUACAAGUAGUUAGAGCCCGUUAAUGGGUGAUAGCGUGCCUUUUGUAGAAUGAACCGGCGAGUUACGAUUUGUUGCAAGGUUAAGCGGAAAAAGCGGAGCCGUAGCGAAAGCGAGUCUGAAUAGGGCGAAUAAGUAACAGGUCGUAGACCCGAAACCAGGUGAUCUACCCAUGUCCAGGAUGAAGGUAAGGUAAUACUUACUGGAGGUCCGAACCCACGCACGUUGAAAAGUGCGGGGAUGAGGUGUGGGUAGCGGAGAAAUUCCAAUCGAACUUGGAGAUAGCUGGUUCUCUCCGAAAUAGCUUUAGGGCUAGCCUCGAGGUAAAGAGUCAUGGAGGUAGAGCACUGUUUGGACUAGGGGCCCUUCUCGGGUUACCGAAUUCAGAUAAACUCCGAAUGCCAUGUACUUAUACUCGGGAGUCAGACUGCGAGUGAUAAGAUCCGUAGUCGAAAGGGAAACAGCCCAGACCACCAGUUAAGGUCCCAAAAUAUAUGUUAAGUGGAAAAGGAUGUGGGGUUGCUUAGACAACCAGGAUGUUGGCUUAGAAGCAGCCACCAUUGAAAGAGUGCGUAAUAGCUCACUGGUCGAGUGACCCCGCGCCGAAAAUGUACCGGGGCUAAACAUAUUACCGAAACUGUGGAUGAACCUCAUUAGAGGUUCGUGGUAGGAGAGCGUUCUAAGGGCGGUGAAGUCAGACCGGAAGGACUGGUGGAGCGCUUAGAAGUGAGAAUGCCGGUAUGAGUAGCGAAAGAAGGGUGAGAAUCCCUUCCACCGAAUAUCUAAGGUUUCCUGAGGAAGGCUCGUCCGCUCAGGGUUAGUCGGGACCUAAGCCGAGGCCGAUAGGCGUAGGCGAUGGACAACAGGUAGAGAUUCCUGUACCAGUGCUAAUUGUUUAACCGAUGGGGUGACACAGAAGGAUAGGGAAUCGCACGAAUGGAAAUGUGCGUCCAAGCAGUGAGUGUGAGAAGUAGGCAAAUCCGCUUCUCGCGAAGCAUGAGCUGUGAUGGGGAAGGAAAUUAAGUACGGAAGUUCCUGAUUUCACGCUGUCAAGAAAAGCCUCUAGGAAGAGUAGUACUGCCCGUACCGCAAACCGACACAGGUAGAUGAGGAGAGAAUCCUAAGGUGAGCGAGAGAACUCUCGUUAAGGAACUCGGCAAAAUGACCCCGUAACUUCGGGAGAAGGGGUGCUCUAUUAGGGUGAAAGCCCGAGAGAGCCGCAGUGAAUAGGCCCAGGCGACUGUUUAGCAAAAACACAGGUCUCUGCAAAACCGUAAGGUG
rnacentral:rRNA from 1 species